UAGAGCUAUACCACUCUGAAUGUGACAGAUCUGGCCUGAUCUUGGAAGCUAAGCAGGGUUGGGCCUGGAUGGAAGAGACAUUCCUGUCAUAUGGGAUGACAGACUGAGGCUGUUGAUGCGGAUGGAACUCUAA
rnacentral:rRNA from 1 species